UACGUAGGUGUCGAGCGUUGUCCGGAUUUAUUGGGCGUAAAGCGCCCGCAGGCGGCUUGGCAAGUUCGAGGUGAAAUCUCCCGGCUCAACUGGGAGGGUGCCUCGGAAACUGCCAGGCUUGGAGGCAGGGAGAGGGAUGUGGAAUUCCCGGUGUAGUGGUGAAAUGCGUAGAUAUCGGGGAGGAACACCAGUGGCGAAGGCGGCAUCCUGGCCCUGUCC
rnacentral:rRNA from 1 species